rnacentral:rRNA from 1 species
CACGGGGGGAGCAAGCGUUGUUCGGAAUCACUGGGCGUAAAGAGCGUGUAGGCGGUUCGGUAAGUCUGUCGUGAAAUCCUGAGGCUCAACCUCGGGCGUGCGAUGGAUACUGCCGGGCUAGAGGGUGGUAGAGGCGAGUGGAAUUCCCGGUGUAGCGGUGAAAUGCGUAGAUAUCUGGAGGAACACCGGUGGCGAAGGCGGCAUCCUGGACCGACACUGACGCUGAGGAGCGAAAGCCAGGGGAGCAAACGGG